UAUAAAGGGAGAAGCAGCACCAGUAUUGUGAGAAGCAAUGCCAACUAAUAAAAACUAUCGGCAUCAUAGUGGUUUAUAGAUAUGGCAGGCUAUAUGCUUCGUCUUAUAGUUAUUCUAUUGGGGUUUUCUCACCUUAUCUCCUUGAAUACUGUCCCAAUAGUAAGAACUAGAAGCCUAGUAUCCAAUUCA